AGUGAACGCUGGCGGUAGGCCUAACACAUGCAAGUCGAACGGCAGCACAGUAAGAGCUUGCUCUUACGGGUGGCGAGUGGCGGACGGGUGAGGAAUACAUCGGAAUCUACUUUUUCGUGGGGGAUAACGUAGGGAAACUUACGCUAAUACCGCAUACGACCUACGGGUGAAAGCAGGGGAUCUUCGGACCUUGCGCGAUUGAAUGAGCCGAUGUCGGAUUAGCUAGUUGGCGGGGUAAAGGCCCACCAGGGCGACGAUCCGUAGCUGGUCUGAGAGGAUGAACAGCCACACUGGAACUGAGACACGGUCCAGACUCCUACGGGAGGCAGCAGUGGGGAAUAUUGGACAAUGGGCGCAAGCCUGAUCCAGCCAUACCGCGUGGGUGAAGAAGGCCUUCGGGUUGUAAAGCCCUUUUGUUGGGAAAGAAAAGCAGCAGGUUAAUACCCCGCUGUUCUGACGGUACCCAAAGAAUAAGCACCGGCUAACUUCGUG
rnacentral:rRNA from 1 species